UCUUUAGAAAGUUAGAAUUGU
rnacentral:miRNA from 1 species